rnacentral:rRNA from 1 species
AGUGAACGCUGGCGGUAGGCCUAACACAUGCAAGUCGAACGGCAGCACAGUAAGAGCUUGCUCUUACGGGUGGCGAGUGGCGGACGGGUGAGGAAUACAUCGGAAUCUACUUUUUCGUGGGGGAUAACGUAGGGAAACUUACGCUAAUACCGCAUACGACCUACGGGUGAAAGCAGGGGAUCUUCGGACCUUGCGCGAUUGAAUGAGCCGAUGUCGGAUUAGCUAGUUGGCGGGGUAAAGGCCCACCAAGGCGACGAUCCGUAGCUGGUCUGAGUGGAUGAUCAGCCACACUGGAACUUAGACACGGUCCAGACGCCUACGGUAGGCAGCAGUGUGGAAUAUUGGACAAUGGUCGCAAGCCUUAUCCAGCCAUAGCGCGUGGGUGAAGAAGGCCUUCGGGGUGUAAAGCCCUUUUGUGGGGAAAGAAAAGCAUCAGGUUAAUACCCCGCUGUUCUGACGGUACCCAAAGAAUAAGCACCGGCUAACUUCGUG